rnacentral:rRNA from 1 species
AUGUCCCCAACAUGGCCCUCCAUUGGAGUUAGGGCGGCUACGAAAGGAGAGACUAUCGAUCAAAUUAUUGGACCCGUGCUGGAUGUCACUUUUCCCCCAGGCAAGUUACCUUAUAUUUAUAACGCUUUGGUAGUCCAGAGUAGAGACACUGACGAUAAGCAAAUUAAUGUGACUUGUGAGGUACAACAAUUAUUAGGAAAUAAUCGAGUUAGAGCUGUAGCUAUGCCACCACGUCCUCCCCGGACCCGAGAACCUCACUAA